rnacentral:rRNA from 1 species
UACAGAGGGGGCAAGCGUUAUUCGGAAUUAUUGGGCGUAAAGGGCGCGUAGGCGGCUUGGCAAGUGGAUGGUGAAAUCCCUCGGCUUAACCGAGGAACUGCCGUCCAAACUGCUUUGCUUGGGACCGGGAGAGGUGAGUGGAAUUCCCAGUGUAGCGGUGAAAUUCGUAGAUAUGGGGAGGAACACCGGUGGCGAAGGCGGCCGACCUGGACGGUAACUGACGCUGAGACGCGAAAGCGUGGGGAGCAAACAGG